rnacentral:rRNA from 1 species
AUUGAACGCUGGCGGCAGGCCUAACACAUGCAAGUCGAGCGGAUGAGUGGAGCUUGCUCCAUGAUUCAGCGGCGGACGGGUGAGUAAUGCCUAGGAAUCUGCCUAUUAGGGGGGGAUAACUCGGGGAAACUCGGGCUAAUACCGCAUACGUCCUACGGGAGAAAGUGGGGGAUCGUCGGACCUCACGCUAAUAGAUGAGCCAAGGUCGGAUUAGCUAGUUGGUGAGGUAACGGCUCACCAAGGCGACGAUCCGUAGCUGGUCUGAGAGGAUGAUCAGCCACACUGGAACUGAGACACGGUCCAGACUCCUACGGGAGGCAGCAGUGGGGAAUAUUGGACAAUGGGCGAAAGCCUGAUCCAGCCAUGCCGCGUGUGUGAAGAAGGUCUUCGGAUUGUAAAGCACUUUAAGUUGGGAGGAAGGUCUGUAAGCUAAUAUCUUGCAGUCUUGACGUUACCAACAGAAUAAGCACCGGCUAACUCUGUGCCAGCCGCCGCAGUAAUAC